rnacentral:rRNA from 1 species
AGCUCUCCGUAGGUGAGUUAUCUACCGACUUCGAAUAAUUGUGAAUUAAUGCUAACGAUUUUCUAGUGAACCUGCGGAGGGAUCAUUACUGAGUGAGGGCCUCUGGCCCGACCUCCAACCCUUUGUAAUUAAAACCAUGUUGCCUCGGGGGUGACCCUUCGAUGGGGCCCCCGACGGACCAUUUUAAACACUGCAUCUAUGCGUCGGAUUAUAAAGUUUAAUAAAUUUAAAACUUCCAACAACGGAUCUCUUGGUUCUGGCACCGAUGAAGAACGCAGCGAAAUGCGAUAAGUAAUGUGAAUUGCAGAAUUCAGUGAAUCAUCGAGUUUUUGAACGCACACUGCGCCCCUUGGUAUUCCGGGGGGCAUGCCCGUUCGAGCGUCAUUUCACCAAUCAAGCCUGGCUUGGUAUUGGGCACCGGGGGCGACCCGGGCCCGAAAGUCGCCGGCUGGAAAGCUCUGAUCUCAGCGUCGUCGUUUUACAAACUCGCUGGCGAGAGGGGCGGUCUGUGCCGUGAAAUCUUUUUAAGGUUGACCUCGGAUCGGGUAGGAAUACCCGCUGAACUUAAGCAUAAAGACGGGGAAGAGAAAUUGUUGGUAAGGGGGAGUUUUAAAGCUGAUGAUCGCUGCCUCGUGGCGUUCGGGACGGAAGGUGUGAGUCUUUGAUAUGUUGCUGUGGCCGAGGAGAUCGACGGGGCAGCCUUUGGGGAAUUGUUGCUUCGAACGGUCUGUGCGUCGGGGAACAGGCAGGGAUGCAGUCAUCGUUCAUUGGUCGGCAGGCCGCUUGACUGCGAAGUGGAGUAUCUUUGCAUUGCUCCGCA